rnacentral:rRNA from 1 species
UACAGAGGGGGCAAGCGUUGUUCGGAAUUACUGGGCGUAAAGGGCGCGUAGGCGGCCCGCUAAGUCGAACGUGAAAUCCCCCGAGCUCAACUCGGGAACUGCGUCCGAUACUGGCGGGCUUGAAUCCGGGAGAGGGAUGCGGAAUUCCAGGUGUAGCGGUGAAAUGCGUAGAUAUCAGGAGGAACACCGGUGGCGAAGGCGGUUCUCUGGGGCAUUACCUGACGCUGAGGAGCGAAAAGUGUGGGGAGCGAACAGG